AGUUAUCCAGACCAUUACCAAUGCUUUUGGAUAGAAGUUUUCCAGGAGACGUUUUUCCAGGAGGUCUUACUUCUAAAAGGAAGCACACAGUGUGUUGUGUACUCACUUUAAUAUGUAAAGCAGUCUCACAUGGCCGAAUAAGCAUAUGGAACUCUUGCCAAGAGUGCAGAAAACAGUGACUCACCUUUAAUUUUUUCAUAAUAACAGUUGAUCAAGACACUUUAUUAUGCAAAUAAGUAACCCACUAACCCUGAAAUUUCUGUCUGACUUGUCAGAUUUCUCCUAAUAGAGAUGGUAUGUGGAGAAGACAGACUGGGUCAGGGUGUGGCUUCAUAUUGGGACAUGUUUGUGUGUUGCCUGCUGUGAAGAUACGGUGGCUCAAAGGGGAAAUGGCUUCACUCGGCAGUCAGGGGCCUCCGAACAAGAUGUUAUCUUACAGUGUGAGAAUGAGAGAAGGCAGGAAGAGAUGUGAUGCUGUGGACUUUCCUCAUCAUAGGCCACCAACCUACAAUACUCACCACAAGCCUUCAUUGUGGGAUUCUAAUGGGUACAGAGCCAAAACAUUAGCAGAGCUGAACACAGAGGAGCUUUGCCAGUGGUUUAGUAAUAUUGGUCUACAGAAAUGCCUGCCCUUCAUUAGAGAUGAGUUCUCCCCUAAGCAGCAGAUUGGAGAUUUGCCUGGCUCAGAGACGAGCCUAAUGGAGCUUCACUUAUGUAGGAAGAUAUUCAGAGAAAAGAUCUGA
ensembl:lncRNA